CGUGCCCGAGAGUGGGGGAGUAACGGAGCGAAAGCUUUGCUAAUACCGCAUACGAUCUACGGAUGAAAGCAGGGGACCGCAAGGCCUUGCGCUCAUGGAGCGGCCGAUGGCAGAUUAGGUAGUUGGUGGGAUAAAAGCUUACCAAGCCGACGAUCUGUAGCUGGUCUGAGAGGACGACCAGCCACACUGGGACUGAGACACGGCCCAGACUCCUACGGGAGGCAGCAGUGGGGAAUUUUGGACAAUGGGCGAAAGCCUGAUCCAGCCAUGCCGCGUGCAGGAUUAAGCCUUCGGGUUGUAAACUGCUUUGUACGGAACGUCGACGCGGCCG
rnacentral:rRNA from 1 species